AUUGGGCAGAUUUGGGGACAUUUUGGGUGGAUUUUGGGAUAUUUUUGACCGAUUUGGGGAUAUUUUGGGCGCAUUUUGGGCUAUUUUGGGCUUUUUUGGGCUAUUUUGGGCUAUUUUGGAUAGAUUUUGGGCUAUUUUGGGAUAUAUUGGGCGGAUUCGAGGAUGUUUUUGGGCUAUUUUGGGCAGAUUUUGGGAUAUUUUUGGCCGAUUUUGGGAUAUUUUGUCCAGAUUUUGGGCUAUUUCGGGAUAUUUUGGGCGGAUUUGGGGCUAUUUUGGGCGGGUUUUGGGAUAUUUUGUAUAGAUAUUGGGCUAUUUUGGGCAGUUUUUGGGCUAUUUUGGGCGGGCCUGCGCUGUGGGCGGGGCCUGCGCUGAGGCCACGCCCCCUCCCACCCAAACAACCCAACCACGCCGCUGCCCCACGUGACCCCGCCCAUCACGCAAGCCCCGCCCCCUCCGCAGCCGUUACCCCUUGGCGGGCGAACCCCCUCUCCACGUGACCCCGCCCCGCGCUCCCAUUGGCUGCCCUCUGCCCGCCCCGCCUUUCUAUUGGUCAAUCCCAUGGGGGCGGGACCACCCAUCCCAACUCGCCCCGCCAUUGGCUGAGGCGCGGAGCCCAAUGGGCGCGCGGCGGUUUGAAGGUGCGCGGGACAAGAUGGCGGCGGUGCCUCAGGCCGGUCCCGCUGCUCUCCCGGGGCCGCGCUCGGGUCUCUCGCGGCUGCCGGUGGCUCGGGCCCACGAGAAGCGGCCCCCGUCGUGCCCCGGCCCCGAGGGCCCGGCGGCGGGGCCUCCCCAGCAGGUGCGGAGCUCUCCCCGGGCGGGUUUCCCCCGCUCUGCCGCAGCCGCCUGACGCCGUUUGUCCCCUCACAGAAACGAUCUCGGACCGGUCUCGGGCCCGGAGGCGCCAAGGCCGCGCCCAAGGCCCCGCUCAGGGCCCCGCUCAGGACUCUGGGGCCGGCGGCGGCGGCGGGGAAGAACGAUGUCCCCCGAAAGGCAGCGACAGUGGCGGCUGCUCCUCGGACAGGCUCUGCCACGCGCACCACGGCCCCGGCAGCCGGGAAGGGCCCCCCCAAGCGGCCGCCCUGGGACCUGCGGGGGCAGCUGGGGGAGCUGCGGGAGGCGCUGGGGGAGGCCCAGGGGAGGCUGCAGCAGCUGGACACGGAGAAAAGGGACCUGGAGAGCGGCAACAGAGAGCUGAGAGACAGGCUGGAGCAGCUGCAGAGGGAGCUGGGCGAGAGGGAGAGCAGGGAGAGCAGCCUCAACACCAGGAUUGGCUCCCUGGAGUCGGAGGUGUCGCGGUUCCGCGCGGAGCUGCAGCAGAGCCAGGGCCUGGUGCAGGCGCUGCAGGCCGAGAAACUGCGGCUGCAGGCUGAGGAGGAGCAGCGGCGGCAGGAGCGCGACCAGGCCCGGGGCCAGGCACAGGCCGUGCUGGAGCAGCUGGAGAACACUGAGGCCCGGCUGCAGCAGGCGCAGCAGCAGCUGCAGCAGCAGCUGGAGCAGCUGGCGGCGCUGCGGGAGCUGGAGGCGUCGCAGCGGGCGCUGCUGGCCGAGCACGAGG
ensembl:lncRNA